rnacentral:rRNA from 1 species
UUUUAUGGAGAGUUUGAUCCUGGCUCAGGAUGAACGCUGGCGGCGUGCCUAAUACAUGCAAGUCGAGCGAACGGACGAGAAGCUUGCUUCUCUGAUGUUAGCGGCGGACGGGUGAGUAACACGUGGAUAACCUACCUAUAAGACUGGGAUAACUUCGGGAAACCGGAGCUAAUACCGGAUAAUAUUUUGAACCGCAUGGUUCAAAAGUGAAAGACGGUCUUGCUGUCACUUAUAGAUGGAUCCGCGCUGCAUUAGCUAGUUGGUAAGGUAACGGCUUACCAAGGCAACGAUGCAUAGCCGACCUGAGAGGGUGAUCGGCCACACUGGAACUGAGACACGGUCCAGACUCCUACGGGAGGCAGCAGUAGGGAAUCUUCCGCAAUGGGCGAAAGCCUGACGGAGCAACGCCGCGUGAGUGAUGAAGGUCUUCGGAUCGUAAAACUCUGUUAUUAGGGAAGAACAUAUGUGUAAGUAACUGUGCACAUCUUGACGGUACCUAAUCAGAAAGCCACGGCUAACUACGUGCCAGCAGCCGCGGUAAUACGUAGGUGGCAAGCGUUAUCCGGAAUUAUUGGGCGUAAAGCGCGCGUAGGCGGUUUUUUAAGUCUGAUGUGAAAGCCCACGGCUCAACCGUGGAGGGUCAUUGGAAACUGGAAAACUUGAGUGCAGAAGAGGAAAGUGGAAUUCCAUGUGUAGCGGUGAAAUGCGCAGAGAUAUGGAGGAACACCAGUGGCGAAGGCGACUUUCUGGUCUGUAACUGACGCUGAUGUGCGAAAGCGUGGGGAUCAAACAGGAUUAGAUACCCUGGUAGUCCACGCCGUAAACGAUGAGUGCUAAGUGUUAGGGGGUUUCCGCCCCUUAGUGCUGCAGCUAACGCAUUAAGCACUCCGCCUGGGGAGUACGACCGCAAGGUUGAAACUCAAAGGAAUUGACGGGGACCCGCACAAGCGGUGGAGCAUGUGGUUUAAUUCGAAGCAACGCGAAGAACCUUACCAAAUCUUGACAUCCUUUGACAACUCUAGAGAUAGAGCCUUCCCCCUUCGGGGGACAAAGUGACAGGUGGUGCAUGGUUGUCGUCAGCUCGUGUCGUGAGAUGUUGGGUUAAGUCCCGCAACGAGCGCAACCCUUAAGCUUAGUUGCCAUCAUUAAGUUGGGCACUCUAAGUUGACUGCCGGUGACAAACCGGAGGAAGGUGGGGAUGACGUCAAAUCAUCAUGCCCCUUAUGAUUUGGGCUACACACGUGCUACAAUGGACAAUACAAAGGGCAGCGAAACCGCGAGGUCAAGCAAAUCCCAUAAAGUUGUUCUCAGUUCGGAUUGUAGUCUGCAACUCGACUACAUGAAGCUGGAAUCGCUAGUAAUCGUAGAUCAGCAUGCUACGGUGAAUACGUUCCCGGGUCUUGUACACACCGCCCGUCACACCACGAGAGUUUGUAACACCCGAAGCCGGUGGAGUAACCUUUUAGGAGCUAGCCGUCGAAGGUGGGACAAAUGAUUGGGGUGAAGUCGUAACAAGGUAGCCGUAUCGGAAGGUGCGGCUGGAUCACCUCCUUUCUAA